rnacentral:rRNA from 1 species
CACGUAGGGUGCGAGCGUUGUCCGGAAUCAUUGGGCGUAAAGAGCGCGUAGGCGGUCCGGUAAGUCCGCUCUGAAAGUCCGGGGCUCAACCCCGGGAGGCGGGCGGAUACUGUCGGGCUAGAGUCCGGAAGAGGCGAGUGGAAUUCCUGGUGUAGCGGUGAAAUGCGCAGAUAUCAGGAGGAACACCGAUGGCGAAGGCAGCUCGCUGGGACGGUACUGACGCUGAGGCGCGAAAGCGUGGGGAGCGAACAGG